UGGCAUCGUUUUUCUCUCAUCUCUACAAACAAGACUAACCAGAAAUGGCAUGCAAUAUUAGUAAUGGUUUUACAGAUUGGGAUCUGCAUAAUUUUGGAGUUUUAAACUCAGACAGUAAUAACAGCAUCAUGUCUUCUUCAUCUUCUUCUUCAAUGGUAAUGGAGGAUUCUUCUAGUUUUCUAUCCACUGGAUAUCUUUAAGAUGCUGUCAUGGAAUGGAGUAAUUACUGUAAAAAACAAAGACUACUGUCUUACAACUCCAGUGAUUAUGAUGCACAUCAAAUAUUUCACUGUUCUAAGCAACAGAGUGUCAACAUGGACUAUGGAGAUAAUGGGGCAAUGUGUUUUCAGAAUUUGAUGUGCUCAAGCUCAACUCCUGAAAAUAAUUUGAUGGCUGAAAACAAAAUUGAAGUUCAAGGUAAAACCCAAAUCUCUCUAUUACUAACUCAUUCACUUGUACAAAGCAUCCAACAGAAGUUCAUUUGCAAUCUCCUUUUCUUAAAGUUAAAAGGUUUACAAUUUACUAACUUAAUGUUUACAAUGUGCUUCCCGGUGUGUAACUAGUUCAGUAAAUGUAAUUGUUCUGAACCAAUUUUUCUUGCCCUUAUAAAGAGAGAACUCUUUACUUCAUUUAUCAAGUCAGCAAGUUCACUCAAUUCCUUGGGGAUCAUUAGAUAUUGUUGAAACUAUUUGUCUUUCACACAGGUUUAACUUGGUAAAAGAUCUUGAUAUCAGCU